GGAAAAGUAGAAGAUGCCACACCUGGCUUUUCCCCUUGCCUCCUGCCCUUUCUCUUCAGCUCAUUUAUUUACAUGUGCAAAUUCUUUUUUAUCUAUGCCUGCAAGGUGUUUGAUGAAAGUUCAGUAAGGCUGUGAGGGAAUACCAAACAAGAGAGGAUCCAGUAUCUGUAGCUAUUGAUUCAGGGUGGAGCUAAUGUGAGUGGUGCUGGUCCUUGUUAUAAUCCGUUGGUAACGGCUGCAGAAGGGCUUAACUGAAGCUAUCAAGUGCUUGUUGGAAGCUGGUGCAAAUCCAAAUGUUCUUGACAAGUUUUGUAGGGAUGGGCGUAUGGAUUGAAUGGUACUGUCCUGAACUGAAACGAAGAACUUCAAUGGAAAUGUAAUACUCCAAUCAAGCAAUGUGACAUUAGUCAUUGUGUGCAGGUUUUCCCAACAAGUUUGUUGUAAUGCCUUAUUUAAGCCAUUUUUAGUUCAGUACUAAACAAAUUGGCCCGGGGAGACGAUCAUUGUGUCCUGGAAGAAGCUGGUCAAGGAGGCAGACCCGGGAACCGCCCUCUUUGCACGCCCCGGCGAUACAGCCCAUCGUCGCCCCCCUCGCGGGGCCCUCUGUU